rnacentral:rRNA from 1 species
AUUGAACGCUGGCGGCAGGCCUAACACAUGCAAGUCGAACGAGUGGCGGACGGGUGAGUAAUGUCUGGGAAACUGCCUGAUGGAGGGGGAUAACUACUGGAACAGGUAGCUAAUACCGCAUACCAUCGGAUGUGCCCAGAUGGGAUUAGCUGGGUGGUGGGGUAACGGCUCACCAAGGCGACAAUGCCUAGCUGGUCUGAGAGGCUGACCGGCCACACUGGAACUUAGACACGGCCCAGACUCCUACGGGAGGCAGCAGUGGGGAAUAUUGCACAAUGGGCGCAAGCCUGAUGCAGCCAUGCCGCGUGUAUGAAGAAGGCCUUCGGGUUGUAAAGCACUUUCAGCGGGGAGGCGGUACCUGCAGAAGAAGCACCGGCUAACUCCGUGCCAGCAGCCGCGGUAAUAC